rnacentral:rRNA from 1 species
AGAGCGAACGCUGGCGGAAUGCUUAACACAUGCAAGUCGCGCGGUCAGCAAUGGCAGCGGCGGACGGGUGAGUAACGCGUAGGAAUAUGUCCAGAGGUGGGGGACAACCCCGGGAAACUGGGGCUAAUACCGCAUAUGAGCUGAGGCUCAAAGCCGUGAGGCGCCUUUGGAGUAGCCUGCGUCCGAUUAGCUUGUUGGUGGGGUAAAGGCCUACCAAGGCGACGAUCGGUAGCUGGUCUGAGAGGACGACCAGCCACACUGGGACUGAGACACGGCCCAGACUCCUACGGGAGGCAGCAGUGGGGAAUAUUGGACAAUGGGCGCAAGCCUGAUCCAGCAAUUCCGCGUGGGUGAAGAAGGUCUUCGGAUUGUAAAGCCCUUUCGACGGGGACGAUGAUGACGGUACCCGUAGAAGAAGCCCCGGCUAACUUCGUGCCAGCAGCCGC